rnacentral:lncRNA from 1 species
CAAGAGUCCCCUCCUUUGUAAAGUGAGCCAGAGUAUGACUAAUCCCACACACCCAGGUCCAUCCGGGCGAGACAAAGCCAGGGACCGUGCGCCUCUUCCCAGGCCACAGGAAACCUGGACAGCAGCCUCUGCCAACCUUUGAAGUGUCUGUUUCCUCAGCCCUUCAGGCUCCGGGGAGAGGCUCCACCUUCCACCUCUGUUGCAAUGUGAGAAAACAUGGAAUGGCUUACUGGAGGAUGAGAGGCAUGUGGAGCAGAAAGGAGCCUCUCUGGGAGUGACCGUUCAGAUCAGCUGGCCUCCGUCUGCUUGGCAGCUAAGCAUGGAGAUGUAAGUGAACACAGCCGAGUCUAGAAGACUUCCAGCUGAGCCCAGCCCAAUCUGUCUACAUGCAGAACAGUGAGUUAAAUAAGUGGUGACUUCUUUUUAAGCCACUAUUUUUGGGGUGGUUUGAUAGGUAGUAAGAGCU